AGUGAACGCUGGCGGUAGGCCUAACACAUGCAAGUCGAACGGCAGCACAGUAAGAGCUUGCUCUUACGGGUGGCGAGUGGCGGACGGGUGAGGAAUACAUCGGAAUCUACUUUUUCGUGGGGGAUAACGUAGGGAAACUUACGCUAAUACCGCAUACGACCUACGGGUGAAAGCAGGGGAUCUUCGGACCUUGCGCGAUUGAAUGAGCCGAUGUCGGAUUAGCUAGUUGGCGGGGUAAAGGCCCACCAAGGCGACGAUCCGUAGCUGAUCUGAGAGGAUGAUCAGCCACACUGGAACUGAGACACGGUCCAGACUCCUACGGGAGGCAGCAGUGGGGAAUAUUGGGCAAUGGGCGCAAGCCUGAUCCAGCCAUGCCGCGUGGGUGAAGAAGGCCUUCGGGUUGUAAAGCCCUUUUGUUGGGAAAGAAAAGCAGCAGGUUAAUACCCCGCUGUUCUGACGGUACCCAAAGAAUAAGCACCGGCUAACUUCGUG
rnacentral:rRNA from 1 species